GGGUGGAGGAGCGUGUCAUGUCCGGCUCUGUCAGAAACAUCCAGUUAACGAGCUGCAAGGCGAAACUUUGACAUAACCAACCUCCCGGUGGUAAGUCUACUGUAAAUGCAUUGUCCUCCUGCCCACACUCGGUACUGCCCCAUUGGAAACAAGAAGUCUGGCUUGACUUGGCUUUCCACUAAAAAUAUUUAAACUAAAGCAGAAGCUGACAUCAUCAGGACAGGCUGAGCGCCCGGUGUUUAGAUUUCCAGAAAUUUCCACAGGAUGCUGCUUAAUAACGGUAACAAUGGGUUACAUACAGGAUUAACAGGGGGGAAGCCCAAUUAAAUCAUCCAGACAGCUGAUCUUUCUGCAAAGGGCGGGCUCUCCAGAUUGGCUCUCUGACACUGUGUGCUUCGGGCACAGGGCCAAGAGUAGACACACAGUGACUCCGUUGUCUUCACCGCCCCGUGUUAGUUGGCUGGACUCAUGCCCCACUUAAGUGGGAACUUCCAACAGUGCGGCUCUUUGCCUCGGAGAUAACCAGCUGCGGACGGACGCUAUCUGGUGGCAGGAGGCAAUUAGCUCAAGGAAAUAGCGCCUGCACUAAACUCAAGGUCAGGUUACCCCCUGAGAUCACCGCGGGACGGGACGAAGCCAACCUGGGAAAAGCGAGCCCGGUUCACCUCUGCUGCGCGCUGCAUUGCGUAACCGCUGGCUCAGGGCGCGCAUUGUUUAGGGCUUGUUGACUCUCCCCACGGAAUUUACUCAAUAGCGCAGCUGAAACCCCGCGUUUCUCACCUAGAGCUGAUGGACUUUCUCAGCAGUACGUCAUUCCUACAUGCUGAGGGCAGCCGAAACAGAUUUUCAAGGUCAUUCUGACAUCUCAAUCUCUCACGAAUGAUCUACAAAUAUCUGUGGACUAGAUCUAGGACCGCAAGCGUGUGAGAGGAAGUGACGUGCGGCCACGCCCCAGGAGUCAUGGCAACAGGGGAAGAAAGACCUGGCUAACAACUGGGAUCUAAAGCUCAGAAAAGGAAGCUCCUCUAAGACACUGUGCUAUCGUCCGCUGUUAAGAGUGAGAAUUUCUGAGCCGCAAGCAAAGGUCAUCAGGCUUUAGGAGGAGGCUGCCAAACAGAAGAAAAGGCUAAGAACCACAGGAGCAAAGGCCGGGCACACUGUGCCAGGAAACAUCAGACCAGCUGGCAGCCAGAUGUGGCAGAUGAAAACAGGAGAGAAAAGACCUAUCCCUUUGCCACCCGAAGGACGGGGCAGAGUGAGUCAUCACGCUGCACUGGGCACAGGCUGAAGGAGACCACUGCAGAGGAACCAGUCACUGGAGAAAGCUGAAUCAAGGCAGCAACAACAGAAGUGGUGAAGAAACUGCAUCUCGGAGCUGUGGGCAAAGGUUCCUGCCCUGAGUUCCUGCCCUGAGUUCCUGCCCUGACUGCCCUCCACGAAGGAGUACAAAUAGCGGCCUGACGAGGCUACACCCACAAAGACUCGCCGACAUGACUGCCUGAACAAGAGCUGCAAUGGUGAUGCCAGCAUGGAUGGAGUGACCCGGGUGGCUGACCGUGAGGCCUCAGCCCUGCACACAGAGCCACAGGCAACCGAGGAACCUAGCGAGCUGGAGAAAUAGCCUCCCGGGGAAGAGCACACUAGUUGUCCGACACCACCUGGUCAGCCAUGAAAACACAGGAACAAAUAACAUUGCACAGAGCAAGCAGGUUAUAUUUAAGAACAUAUAGGCAUAUGUGCAUGCAAUAACCAUUGAUAAAAUUAAUUUUUUAGCUAUAAAUGUAAAAGGGAGCAAGAAAUGGCAUAUGGGAGGAUUUGGAGGAAGAACGGGAAGGAAGAAAUUAUGUAAGUAUAUUACGAUCUCAAAAAAGAAAAAGAGGGAGGCAAGGCCUUCUGCAACCCUUCCCGUGUGCCACUGGGACCUUGUGUCCAGAUCUCGUGUGCCUUUCUUCUCCGAAAAGAGGACUGAGGCUAGCCUGUUGGGGUGACAUCUGUGUAGCCCCUCCAAGGUUUGGUGAUAGCAGGUCCAGUUACCAUGUCUGCCACUGCAGCUGCCCUGAGGGAAGCAGUCAUCUCAUCCACCCAGCUUGAUUUUUCUCGUUCUUGCUCAGUUUCCUUGCUGUUCCACUGCGAUGACAGAUCUCAUGGCUGAGGGCUUUCUUCCUUCAGAGCCUGCAUCUUGUCAAGUCACUUGUGUGCCAUUAGCCUUUGAUAGAUACUGCUGAGCGUAGGUGCUGAAGCCCGUGGAUGCCUUGGCUGGAGCAGCUACCCUCAUCCCUCAAGGGACUCAUCACCGGUUACUUGAUCAUUGAGUUGUCAUUGACACAUCUUAGAAUCUCACCGAAGGACUGUAUUGGUUUGGCCUGUGGACAUAUCUGCUGGGGGUUGUCCUAACUAAGUUGUCAGACAUGAGAAGACCCAGUCUGCUGUGAGCAGCACUAUUCCCUUUGCCAGGGGUCCUGAGCUGUGCAAUAGUGGAGAAUUCUAGCCAAAUACAGGCGAACAAGCAAGCGAACAAGCCAGCAAGCAUGCAUUCAUCUUUGUCUGACCUUGUCUGCUGGUGUGCUGUGACUGUUUCAAGUUCAGGUUUCCUUGACAUUCCUGAUAUGAAGAAUUGCAACUUAGGAUGGUGAGAUAAACUAAAUCCUUCCUUACCUGAAAGUCGUUCCUGCCAGAGUAGUUGCUCACAGCAGCAGAAAUGCAGCAAAGACACGUCUUAGAGGCUCUGCAUCAGUCUCUGGCCCAGGCAGGGUGAGAAUCCAUAGCAACAGCAGCAGCAGCAACAGUAAGAGCCUGGGAGUCAGAGUCCAUCCAUGUUGUGUUCAAGCUUGCUUUCCACCUUUUUUGCCACACCCCCUGCACAAUAUAGGUUGUUGUAGUGAGGAACUGACUGACAUUCAAAAGACAGAUCAUGCUGCCUUCUCUCUCUCUCUCUCUCUCUCUCUCUCUCUCUGUGUGUGUGUGUGUGUAUGAAGUGUGGAUGUGUGCAUACCAUGGCUUGUGUGCAGAGGUCAUGGGACAACCUCAUGAAAUUGGUUCUCUCCUUCUAUCUUUGCAACGCGUCUGAGCAUCAAAUGCAGGUCAUCACUUUUGGGUGGCAUGCCCUUUUGUUGGCACCCACCAAGCUAUCUUCCUGGUCCACUGUCUCCUACAUUUGAUAUAUUUGUAUGACAUUAUUAACUAACUUCUUGCAUACAGACAAAGGGCUGUGUGCUGUGUGCUCACUCCCAGGCAUCUGUGUGCACACACUUCUGCUAGAAGCUCUUGUGACAUGCCCUCAGGCCAUCUAUGUGUCAAGCUGUCUAGGCUUGUGUUUAAUAGCUACCCAAAUGUUACUCUGGAUGUUUCUAUGAAGAUAUUUUUAUUCAAAAUUAACAAUUUGAAUUGAUCGGCAUAUUGACCAACCAAUCAAAUUAGUUUCUACUGCACAGUCACAUGUAUAAGAUUCUGGUUAAAAAUAAGUCAAAUAUAUCAUGGUAAUUCCAAAAAAUUGUCUCUCCUAGCCAUGUUGUGUCUGUCUUAGUUUGUGUAAGUAGACUAUGACAUUUGCGUGAUGGCAAUAUCCCACACCAUCUUUCUGUUCUGAAUGAGGAAUAUAGACCCUUUCCUCCGGCCACUUCUCUAAUGCCAAGUAUGAAAUGAGUAACCAAAUACGUUGUUCUGAAUUCUGCCCCAAAGACUCUCUCCCCUGUCUUCCUGUCAGUCUUCAGCGGGUUUUUAACACAGCCCAAAUCUAGCUCUGGCUAGCAGCAAUGCUCCACACCUGUGUCUGUGCUAAGCCGACCAUAGCUCUAUCUCCCUCUGUCACUUGUCUGAUCCAUAGGUAUGUAUGGAAGGAAAUAUACCACUGUCGCAGAUGUAAAGGAACCUAGGGUAUCUGCCAAUGAUGUGGUAAAGGAGCCCGGGGUACCUGUCCGUGAAGUUUCCUCAAGUGUCAAUCUGAUGUCAGUGUGACCCGGAUUGUACUCCGUCUGCGUGAAGAGAAUUGCAGCUGUAUUCCCACGGGCUGUGGUUUGGCAGAUCUGAUAGUACCCAUAAUAAACAGCUCUAGGUUCGGUUGCCUGGUGUUCCGUGGUGGGAUGAAGCAUCCGUGACCAGUGCCACGCUGUUUUUCUAAGCGAGGCCUCGGUUUCUGCCCACAAAAGAUGGGGCUGUGCUUCAGACUCCUGUGGUUGUAGAGAUUCCCUCAGCCUUCUGACCCAUAGAUAACGAAGAACAUCAAAGCAGGGGGGUCAUAGGCGUUAGAGACAGAGUGACUCUCCCGCAGCUUGGUUUGGACAUCCCUGCCUUCCUCUGGGCUGCACUGAUAACUGGAUGGAGUGUGUGUGUGUGUGUGUGUGUGUGUGUGUGUGUGUUAAAAGAAAGAGAGAACUCAACAUUCUACUUGGCUGUC